AUUGAACGCUGGCGGCAUGCCUUACACAUGUAAGUCGAACGGUAACAGGUCUUCGGAUGCUGACGAGUGGCGAACGGGUGAGUAAUACAUCGGAACGUGCCUAGUAGUGGGGGAUAACUACUCGAAAGAGUGGCUAAUACCGCAUGAGAUCUACGGAUGAAAGCAGGGUAUCGCAAGACCUUGUGCUACUAGAGCGGCCGAUGGCAGAUUAGGUAGUUGGUGGGAUAAAAGCUUACCAAGCCGACGAUCUGUAGCUGGUCUGAGAGGACGAUCAGCCAAACUGGGACUGAGACACGGCCCAGACUCCUACGGGAGGCAGCAGUGGGGAAUUUUGGACAAUGGGCGCAAGCCUGAUCCAGCAAUGCCGCGUGCAGGAUGAAGGCCUUCGGGUUGUAAACUGCUUUUGUACGGAACGAAAAGCCCUGGGUUAAUACCCUGGGGUCAUGACGGUACCGUAAGAAUAAGCACCGGCUAACUACGUGCCAGCCGCCGCCGUAAAAC
rnacentral:rRNA from 1 species